rnacentral:rRNA from 1 species
AUGGCCUCCCGUUCGAGGACCCCGCGGCCUCAAGCCUCCCGUGCCCGAGCUCCUUCUCCUCUUCGAGCCGAGGCUCCCUGCAGCCUCGCAUCCCGCAGCUCGCCCGUCCUCGGAGCUCCCUGCCGCGGUGCUCCCCUUCUCUGUCGUCGCCCGCCUCCAACCUCGACGCCGCCACCACGUCCUGACCGCCCCGCGCCCGAGGCCCUGCCUUCUCCUCGUCCGCAUCGACCGAAGCCAGCAGAUGAGCCCCGUCGCGCCCUCUUCUUCCCCCGUUUUCCUCCUCUCUGUACCUCAUCUCUCUCUCGUUCUUUGUGUACCAGGAUCCACGCCGCCUCGAUCCCCUUCGGCAGCAGCCUCGCCGCCGGCCUCCUGCCAUCGCCCAGAUCCGCAGCCGUCCCGCCGGAGUUCCUCGCGCCCUGCCGGCCUGCUUCCUCCUCUGCACCACGCCUGGCCCCCCUGCCUCGAACUGCUGCUUCUGUUUUCUUCAGAAAACGAGAGCAGCGCUGCAUCGAGCGCCUGCUUGAUCCAUCCGCUCGCCCGCGUUGA